rnacentral:rRNA from 1 species
CCUACGGGUGGCAGCAGUGGGGAAUAUUGCACAAUGGGGGAAACCCUGAUGCAGCGACGCCGCGUGAGCGAUGAAGUAUUUCGGUAUGUAAAGCUCUAUCAGCAGGGAAGAAAAUGACGGUACCUGAAGAAAAAGCAUCGGCUAACUCCGUGCCAGCAGCCGCGGUAAUACGGAGGAUGCGAGCGUUAUCCGGAUCUAUUGGGUGUAAAGGGUGCGCAGGCGGCCUGUAAAGUCAGCGGUAAAAGCCCGGGGGUCAACCACGGCGAGCCGUUGAAACUGGCGGGCUGGAGUUGGAGAGAAGUACGCGGAAUGCGCGGUGUAGCGGUGGAAUGCUUAGAUAGCGGGCAGAACCCCGGUUGCGAAGGCAGCGUACCGGCUCCACACUGACGCUGAGGCACGAAAGCGUGGGUAUCGAACAGGAUUAGAUACCCCAGUAGUC